AUACGUAGGGGGCGAGCGUUAUCCGGAAUUAUUGGGCGUAAAGAGUACGUAGGUGGUUGCGUAAGCGCAAGGUGAAAGACCGGGGCUUAACUUCGGUGAGCCUUGUGAACUGCGUGACUUGAGUGCAGGAGGGGAAAGUGGAAUUCCUAGUGUAGCGGUGAAAUGCGUAGAUAUUGGGAAGAACACCGGUGGCGAAGGCGCCUUUCUGGACUGUGUCUGACGCUCAGAUGCGAAAGCCAGGGUAGCGAACGGGAUUAGAUACCCCGGUAGUCCUGGCCGUAAACGAUGGGUACUAGGUGUGGGAGGUAUCGACUCCUUCCGUGCCGGAGUUAACGCAAUAAGUACCCCGCCUGGGGAGUACGGCCGCAAGGCUUAAACUCAAAUGAAUUGACGGGG
rnacentral:rRNA from 1 species